UAGAGGCCCGCCGCGGUAACGACGGGUAACGGGGAAUCAGGGUUCGAUUCCGGAGAGGGAGCCCGAGAAACGGCUACCACUCCAAGGAAGGCAGCAGGCGCGCAACUUACCCUAAUCUCGAUUCGAGGAGGUAGUGACAAGAAAUACCGAUGCGGGACCCCUACGGGUGCCGCGUUCGGAAUGAGUACGAUUCGAACCACCUAACGAGGAACGAUCGGAGGGCAAGUCUGGUGCCAGCAGCCGCGGUAAUUCCAGCUCCAAUAGCGUACGUUAAAGUUGCUGCAGUUAAAAAGCUCGUAGUUGAACGUUCGGGUUCCGCGGGACGGGGCCGCCCCGCGAGGGACGGCGCCGCCCCGGGGCUCGUGAUAUCUCAUCUCGCCGCCCGUCGCGAGGCGGACGGAGG
rnacentral:rRNA from 1 species